rnacentral:rRNA from 1 species
AGAACGAACGCUGGCGGCGUGCUUAAUACAUGCAAGUCGUGCGAGAAAGUACCCUUCGGGGUGCGAGUACAGCGGCAAACGGGUGAGUAACACGUAAGGAAUCUGCCUCCAAAUCCGGAAUAGCUCUGCCAACGCGGAAUUAAUGCCGGAUGUGGUUGCAUGGUCGCAUGGCUAUGCAACUAAAGGUGACCUCUUCGUUUGAAAGUUACCGUUUGGAGAUGACCUUGCGGCCCAUUAGCUUGUUGGCGGGGUAACGGCCCACCAAGGCUGCGAUGGGUAGCCGGCCUGAGAGGGUGAUCGGCCACAUUGGGACUGAGAUACGGCCCAGACUCCUACGGGAGGCAGCAGUAGGGAAUUUUGCGCAAUGGACGAAAGUCUGACGCAGCAACGCCGCGUGAGCGAUGAAGGUCUUCGGAUCGUAAAGCUCUGUUGAGUGGGAAGAAACGUCUCGGGGUUAAUAUCUCCGAGGCCUGACGGUACCACUCGAGGAAGCUCCGGCCAACUACGUGCCAGCAGCCGCGGUAAUACGUAGGGAGCGAGCGUAGUACGGAAUCACUGGGCGUAAAGGGAGUGCAGGCGGAAAGGUAAGUCAGAAGUGUAAUCUACGGGCUUAACCCGUAUCUCGCUUUUGAUACUGCUUUUCUUGAGUAGUGGAGAGGGAAACGGAAUUCCAGGUGUAGCGGUGGAAUGCGUAGAUAUCUGGAAGAACACCAGUAAGCGAAGGCGGUUCCCUGGCCACAUACUGACGCUGAGGCUCGAAAAGCGUGGGGAGCAAAACAGGAUUAGAUACCCUGGUA